UACGUAGGGGGCAAGCGGUUGUCCGGAAUCAUUGGGCGUAAAGAGCGUUGUAGGCGGCCCGAUAAGUCCGCUGUGAAAGUCCAGGGCUCAACCCUGGGAUGCCGGUGGAUACUGUCGGGCUCGAGUCCGGAAGAGGAGUGUGGGAAUUCCUGGUGUAGCGGUGAAAUGCGCAGAUAUCAGGAGGAACACCAAUGGCGAAGGCAGCACUCUGGGACGUGACUGACGCUGAGACGCGAAAGCGUGGGGAGCAAACAGGAUUAAGAA
rnacentral:rRNA from 1 species